GGCGGCAUAGCCAAGUGGUAAGGCAGCGGCCUGCAAAGCCGUUAUCCAUCAGUUCGAAUCUGAUUGCCGCCUCCA
rnacentral:tRNA from 1 species